CCGGAAUCUUACCGGGACCGACAGCAAUAUGAAGGCCAGGCUGAAGACUUUGCCGGAUUAGCUGAGAGGUGGUGCAUGGCCGUCGUCAGUUCGUACUGUGAAGCAUCCUGUUAAGUCAGGCAACGAGCGAGACCCACGCCCACAGUUGCCAGCGUACUCUCUGGAGUGACGGGUACACUGUGGGGACCGCCGCUGCUAAAGCGGAGGAAGGAAUGGGCAACGGUAGGUCAGUAUGCCCCGAAUAUCCCGGGCUACACGCGAGCUACAAUGGUUGGUACAAUGGGUAUCUACCCCGAAAGGGGACGGGAAUCUCCUAAAACCAAUCUUAGUUCGGAUUGAGGGCUGCAACUCGCCCUCAUGAAGCUGGAAUCCGUAGUAAUCGCGUUUCAACAGAACGCGGUGAAUACGUCCCUGCUCCUUG
rnacentral:rRNA from 1 species